UGGCCUACGGAUACGGCACUUUCCCUUAACAUAAAUAUUAAUGAGCCGUACAUAAAUAUUAAUGAGCCGGCUGAUGAACACGCUUCGUGAUUGGCUGGUAAUCCGACGUACAUAAAUAUUAAUGAGCCGGCGACGCUGAUGAAGGCGCUUCCGUGAUUCGAGGUGAAUCUGCGGAAUGAAUGGCGGAACUAACAGCCAGCAAACUACAAGUAUUUUUUUUACCUUCAAAAGUAGCGACAGACUAUUACAUAUUAACAACCUAAGCAAAACCCUGACGUAUUUUCUGCGUCUGUCAACACAGACCCUGCACGUCAGUCACUUUAAUGUUAGCGGACUCUGUUGAAUGGCUAAGUUACAUAACCACAAACAAAUCUCACAAUAUCACAGUAAAUCGAGUUUGUGGGUUUUUUAAAUUCAUGCCGAAUUAAAGAGCUGCUUCUCACCAUUCACGAGUGUUUGUUUCAUAUUCGACAUCCUUAACUUUAUCUUGUAAAUUAGCGUCCGAAAUUAAAUGGGAACAUUUGCAAUGGAGUUCGUCAGCCGCUUCCACCACUGAACGCGGUAAACUAAUUAAUAGGAACUGGACUUCAAACAAUUUAGACACGGCGUCUAAAAGCGUAAAAACUACAUUGUCUACGUAAAGUGUGAGAGGAGACGGUGUAUUUUUAGUUAAAUUAUACAAUGUUCCCCGUCAAAGUCAUUCAUAUAAACUGCCUGUAAUGUGCAGCAAUAACCAUCGCCAGCUCUUCAGUGACCUCAACACGUCCGUACCUCUAGUACAGAUGCUACGGGUACGGGUCCGUACCUCUCGCAUCAACCGAUGGAGAAUUAGGACGGUAUAUCACAAGAUAUGGGGACCGGCUUGCACUCAAGGCAUUUUGUCGUCAGAGAGCUGUAACAAAUGAAUACCGAGCGGGAACAGAGACAGUGAAGUCUGCCCUCUUGCAGAACAUAAGGCACAGGUUGGAGGAACGGGGAAACUCUGCUACCACGAACAGAGAACGCAGUGCUGGCAAUACAUUCGCAGUCAAAGUCACCCGGUGGGUUGAGAUGGGAUGGCUCAACUUUGAGAGAGGCACUUAUCACCAAAUCAGAACGAGAAAUGGAGGCGGAACACGGCAUCUGUCUGUCCAAAAAUCUGUAACUAUGGGCGAGCUGCUUCAGACAGGCAAAGAUCUGUUUUUUCCUAAUGGACAAUCAUCCAAAGGUCCGGUGGAAGACUUCGAAUUUGAUAUUCGUGAUUACAGCCAUAAUGUUGUGUCACCUGAAGUAACAGUGGCCCAGCUAUAUGAACAGAGUAAAUUAAAAAUGCUGCGGGUCUACACAUGCUCCAAGGCAAAGGGUUUAGUGCUUAUUACUGAUGAGUCAUCUAACUCAGAACCCAGAAAUGAGAGGCCAAAAAAGGUAAUUUUUUGAUUCCCUUUUAAUUUUUAUUGUGACAGAUUUCUGAACAGUUAAACAACCUGUCAAUCAUAGCCAUCAUUUGCUGAUCUGUGCACGUCUUUGCAGAGACGAUCCCCAAAGAGUGGGCCUACAAGAAGACAGCCAGAACCCAGUGGGUCAGUGCAGAGAGCUGAACCAAAGGUCGAUUUGGGACAAACUUCAGAUCUGUUUAGUGAGGAAAUUCUGACGUUGAGUGAUGGGUCAGAUUCCCCUCUUUGCCCCUUCGAAAAUUUUGAAGACUCUGAAAUUAACUUUGGACCCACUGGUGGUGAUGACGAUGGCGACACCACCCUUCCCUGGAAUCCUCCUAAUGACCUGGACCCUCAGCAGCACUCAACAUUGAAUGAUGGGCCUGCAUCUUCAAGCAGUCUUCCAGCAGCACCAGACCCACCUGAAAAAGAGCCCCUCUUUGUGAAGUUGAGGCGGAUAAAUAUAGUUGAGGAUGUUCUCAAUGUCUUUAUGGAACCAAAGGUACUGAAUGCUCAAUUAAAAAUGGAAUUCACAAAUGAGAUGGCUGUGGACAGUGAUGGGGUAUCAAGAGAGGCAUAUUCCGCAUUCUGGGAAGAAUUUUUGGAACAGUGUGAGGGGGAAGAUGAAAGAGUACCCAGACUGCAACCAGACUAUUCAGAGAAGAAAUGGGAAGCUCUUGGAAGAGUGUGGAUACCUUGACCACAAAAUCAUACCAGUCAGGCUAUCACCCGCUUUUGUUCUUGCCUGUUGCCAAGGACUUACUUCAGUGGAUGAAGAUCUGUUGAUGAUGUCAUUUGCAAGAUUUCUUUCAGAGAGUGAGCGUGCAACACUUGAAAAAGCAAUGCAGGGCAACAUAGAUGAAGCUGUUGAGGAGGACUUGCUUGAGAUUUUUUCAAGAAUGGGCUCACACAUCCUGCCCUCUCAAGACAACCUGCGGGCAGCCAUUUUGAAAAUGGCCCACAAAGCUCUUCUUCAAGAGCCAAAGUUCAUAAUUGACUGUUUCCACAACAUUAUUCACAGUUCCCUGCCAAUGCACAUAACAAAAGACAGCAUAAUGGUGCUUUAUGAAUCCAAGAAGCCAACUAACAAAAAAGUGGUCAAGAUGAUAAAGUCAUCAUCUGACAGCCUAAAUCCACAAGAGCAGGAAGCACUUAACCACCUGAUAUGGUACGUGAGAAACACUGACCAAAGAAAGCUGGAGAUGUUCUUGCGCUUCUGCACAGGAUCGACUGUACUGUGCAAAGAUACGAUUGAAAUGACCUUCAAUACACUGUCUGGAUUGAGCCGGAGACCUGUAGCACACACAUGUGGAGCAGUGCUUGAGUUACCGUGCACCUACAGCUCAUACCCUGAUUUUCGUAAAGAGCUUGACAGUGUCCUGUCAGGUGACUGCUUCACGAUGGAUAUUGUGUAGUCAAUGAAGUGAAUGUUUUUACAAGUGUGUCUUAUUAUUGUGAAAACGAUUAAUGGUAUAACCGUGAUGUAGUUAGAUUUGGGACACACACACACACCAGUAUUGUAUCCUUUGCAAGUUCAUGUUUAUGGGUGAGGUUCUUUCAGGAUGGAGUUAUAAAGGUGCAAGAACAAGCAGAGUAAGUACGAAGAGUUUGACAGUGUCCUGUCUGGUGUGACUGAUUUAUUGAUAUUGUAUAGUGAAUGUUUCUAUACCAUUUCUACAGAUUUACAUUUAAAACAUGUUAUUUUCCAUUCAUAUGUAACAAGCAAGAAAACAUAGUAGCCAUUAACAAAACAGAAACAAACAUUCUUUUUUUUUCUUUUUUUUUACUUCUGUGGCUUUACUUUAAGAGGUUGAAAACUUUACUUAAGUCCAAAUGACAAUUUAAGUUCAAUCAUUUUGAUAAGUCAGAAAUGUGUGCAGGCACCAUUGAUAUUAACUAUUUGGUAGGCUACAGCAAAUGCAG